AACGAACGCUGGCGGCAUGCCUAACACAUGCAAGUCGAACGAGACCUUCGGGUCUAGUGGCGCACGGGUGCGUAACGCGUGGGGACCUGCCCUUAGGUUCGGAAUAACUCCCCGAAAGGGGUGCUAAUACCGGAUAAUGUCUUCGGACCAAAGAUUUAUCGCCUUUGGAUGGGCCCGCGUUGGAUUAGCUAGUUGGUAGGGUAAAAGCCUACCAAGGCGACGAUCCAUAGCUGGUCUGAGAGGAUGAUCAGCCACACUGGGACUGAGACACGGCCCAGACUCCUACGGGAGGCAGCAGUGGGGAGUAUUGGACAAUGGGCCAAAGCCUGAUCCAGCAAUGCCGCGUGAGUGAUGAAGGCCUUAGGGUUGUAAAGCUCUUUUACCCGGGAUGAUAAUGACGGUACCGGGAGAAUAAGCUCCGGCUAACUCCGUG
rnacentral:rRNA from 1 species